rnacentral:rRNA from 1 species
GAUGAACGCUGGCGGCGUGCCUAAUACAUGCAAGUCGAGCGAACGGACGAGAAGCUUGCUUCUCUGAUGUUAGCGGCGGACGGGUGAGUAAAACGUGGAUAAAAUACCUAUAAGACUGGGGUAAAUUCGGGAAAACGGAGCUAAUAACGGCUUAUCUUUUGAACCGCAUGGUUCAAAAGUGACAGACGGUCUUGCUGUCACUUAUAGCUGGAUCCGCGCUGCAUUAGCUAGUUGGUAAGGUAACGGCUUACCAAGGCAACGAUGCAUAGCCGACCUGAGAGGGUGAUCGGCCACACUGGAACUGAGACACGGUCCAGACUCCUACGGGAGGCAGCAGUAGGGAAUCUUCCGCAAUGGGCGAAAGCCUGACGGAGCAACGCCGCGUGAGUGAUGAAGGUCUUCGGAUCGUAAAACUCUUUUAUUAGGGAAGAACAUAUGUGUAAGUAACUGUGCACAUAUUGACGGUACCUAAUCAGAAAGCCACGGCUAACUACGUG